GAGUUGACGGGGCGGUCGCGUUUGCGGGGCGAAAGGCCCGCUUACGAGGAAAGUCCGGGCUGCGCAGGGCGAGGAUAACGGGUAACGCCCGCCGAAGGCGACUUCAGGAAAAGUGCAACAGAGAUAUACCGCCCGGGCCCUGCCCGGGUAAGGGUGGAAAGGCGAGGUAAGAGCUCACCCGACGGCGUGUGAAAGCGUCCGUCGCUGUAAACUCUAUCCGCAGCAACACCGUGGAGGGACGAGAGGCCUGCCCGGCCGUCCCGAGGAGGUGGCUUGAGCGCGGCGGCGACGCCGCGUCGAGAUAGAUGACCGCUGCUCGCAAGAGUACAGAACCCGGCUUACAAGUCAGCUCA
rnacentral:RNase_P_RNA from 1 species